CCUGGCCUCAGGUCCCCUGCAGCCAGCUUGACAGCGUCACCUCGGGCCCCCACUGUCAGGGGGUCUGGGCAUCCACCAAGCCUCUCUCUUCUGAGCCUCUGCCCACUGGGCUCUGUCAUGUGGACUGGCCCCUGCUCCCCCCACAUCCCCCGCCCGCUGCUGGUGGCUGGGCAGGGCUCUGAGAACCGCUCCCAGCCUGGGAAGAAGCCUCCCACGCCAGGGCCCCGGACCCAGGAGAGGCCAUGGCAAGCCUGAACCCCAUCUGGCUGACACCCUCCACAUCCCCAAGGGCCCUUAGUCUGAGACCAACUCUCCUGGAUACCUGGGGCACGCGCAGGCCCUCUGUGCCCCAGUUACCUGUGCCCGGGAGGCAGCCACGGAGUCACGACCACGCGGGGGACGCCAGCCCACAGGAGGAGGCCGGCAAAGCAAGGGGCCUCCACCCUGUGCCCUCGGACCUUAAGGAACCCUGGCUGUAGGAGACCAGACACCAACUACACCUGGGGAGAAGGAGACAGGGCACCCAGAGCCUUCUUCCCGGCCCUGACCGCGUGGCCAGCCGAGGCUGUAAGGGGCAUUGCCCUAGGCUGCCGUUGCAGGGUGCACGGGGCCCUCUGAGAUUUCGCUGGAACCAGGAGUUCAGAUGCUUCCACUAACCGUGACCUUAGUGGGGCUCCCCAGGUGCUGGCUUUUGCCCACACUGGGACAGGACCUGUGAGCACCUCUAGGUAAGAGGUCCCUGAAGACAUACCUGUCCCCUAUCCCCUGGCCUGGGGGAAGGCAUGAUCUCCACCCCCGGGACUCUCUGGCGCGCAAGAGGAGCUGACCGAGGAGCCCAGCCUGGCUGGGAGAGUGUCCGUGCAGAGGCAUUUCCCGUCCAACAGGAAAAAGGCCAGGAGGCCCGGCGGGAAGCCCAGACAAACCAUCAACAGAAUGUGAUCUGUCCACACAAUGCAACGGUACUGGUCUGUACACAGGACCGACGCUCUGACCACACUGUAACACGGAUGACGCAUGCUACAACAUGGGUGACACAUGAAGAUACCAUGCUCAGUGGAAGACAUAAAAGGCCAGAGUGUGCGAUUCCACUUGUAUGAAACGUCUGGAACAGACAAAUCCAUGGGACAGAGGACAGGUGGAGGGCCACAGCCGGGGGAGGGGCACGU